GUCGUGAGAUGUUGGGUUAAGUCCCGCAACGAGCGCAACCCUUGUCGUUAGUUGCUAACGGUUCGGCCGAGCACUCUAACGAGACUGCCGACGUUAAGUCGGAGGAAGGUGGGGAUGACGUCAAGUCCUCAUGGCCCUUAUGCCCAGGGCUACACACGUGCUACAAUGGCCGGUACAAAGGGUCGCAAGCGCGCGAGCGUAAGCCAAUCCCAAAAAACCGGUCUCAGUUCGGAUUGGAGUCUGCAACUCGACUCCAUGAAGUCGGAAUCGCUAGUAAUCGCGGAUCAGCACGCCGCGGUGAAUACGUUCCCGGGCCUUGUACACACCGCCCGUCACACCAUGGGAGUCAGUUGCUCCAGAAGUGGCUUGCCUAACCGUAAGGAGGGCGGUCCCUAAGGAGUGACUGGUAACUGGGGUGAAGUCGUAACAAGGUAGCCGUAGGGGAACCUGCGGCUGGAUCACCUCCUUUCUGGAGACUUCCGGAGCUCUUCGGAGCAUACGGACAGCUCUCAAGGUCAAUACACUCUCAGAACGCUCAUCUCGUCAAUGUCUGCUGUUCGGUCUUGAGGGACCGACAACAGCUCUUGGCUCUUUGAUUUCUUGGCAUCAUGGCUCGCAUCGGGCCUGUAGCUCAGCUGGUUAGAGCACACGCUUGAUAAGCGUGGGGUCGAUAGUUCAAAUCUAUCCAGGCCCACUCGCGUCAUCAAGUGACAGAUUCCCUUCCGGGGGAAUAGCUCAGCUGGUAGAGCAUCGGCUUUGCAAGCCGAGGGUCGCGGGUUCGAGUCCCGUUUCCUCCAGUUUCUUGUUGGGCAGUUGCACUCUGAAAACUCAAUAGUUGACGAAGACGCGAAAGAACAAGUCGCUGUCCGUUGUCUGGGCAGCGAAGUGUGCGAAUUCGCGAAGCGUCUUGGUGGUCUCUGACUGUUUAAGUCGGAGGCCAGGGCAGAGCUCCUGACGAAGUUGUCGGGCGUCGAACCCUGGCCUUCACCCUGUAAGCCGAAAGCGGCAAAGGGCUUGAUGGUCAAGCUACUAAGGGCACACGGUGGAUGCCUUGGCGUCGAGAGGCGAUGAAGGGCGUGGUUAGCUGCGAAAAGUUCCGGGGAGCCGCAAGCAGGCGUCGAUCCGGAAAUGC
rnacentral:sRNA from 1 species